CGACCUUGUGCUUGCCAGGCAGGCGCUUUUGCCGCUGAGCUAAAUCCCCAGCACUGACUUUUGCAUAUUAUGAUGACAGCAGGAACCAAUUUUAAAUCUCAUUAAACCUAGAGUACAGUGUGAACUAUCAUGGGUUAUAUUACAAAAUAAAAUGAGUUCAGUUUCAAGAGGUCUUUCUUAUACUCUGUAAAUAUAAUUUAAAAAUAUGUUUCAAUUUAAGAGCUUACUGGAUCUUAAAUAUAUCCCAAAGGUGAAGUGAAAAGGCUUAUUCAAUAGAGUGCCACUACUGGGAGGUGGUGGAGUCUUUAAGAGGCGGAGUUAGUGGAGGUCCUUCCAGUCACUGGUUGGGUGCAUCCAAGGGGACUGUGGGAUAUCCCCGCAAGCCCUUCCUCUUCCUGUCUUUUGCUUUCUGGCCAUAAGGAGAGUGGUUUUGCUCUUGUGCUUCCCAUCAUGAUAAGCUAGCUUGCCAGGGAUCCCCGAGCAAUGGGUCAAGUGAUCUUGGAUUGGAAUCUCCAAAACUGUGGGCUAAAAUAAACAUCUUUUUCUUCAUCUCCAGGCAACCUGUAUUUCUAAGAUCGUGACCUUCUUCUUCCAUCUUCAAAGCUAGCAGCUAACAUCUUGCAAAUCUCUUUCGAGGCUGACACUUCUGCCUUCCUUUUCCACUUUGAAAGACUCUUAUGACUACAUGGCGACUAUCAGGACAAUCUCCUUAAUUUAAGAUUUCCACUUAAGCAGAGAUUUGAACAAAAGGAUUUGGAUGCAGAGACAGGUCAUUCCUUUAAUCAAAUGAGAUGAACAACUCUCAGAUUUGGAGAUGUGGUAUCGAAAGCUGAUGCUUAGAAAUAUCCUGAAUGUCAUAGCAAACUAAGACCUCAAAAGGUGAUUAUCUUUUUAGCCUUUCAAUUACUGACCACUAAGGAGAGUCUACAGCAAAGGGAAGCCUUGGUGACAUGACGACCUUUUGUUCUACCGACUUUCUCUGUAAAGUCCUGGGGAAGCAAGGAGACAAGAAAAACAGAUGGAAAAAGACUUUAAAUUGAGUAAGGUAAUGUAAGGGAACUUCUCAUUUUUCAUCCAAGUUUUAAAAAACAAAACUGUACUAGCAUCUUCUUUCUUGCAUUAUGAAGCAGAAAUGUUCGGCCUAACUUUCUUGGUCCUCUGCCAUCUGGAUGACACCACACCAC